UUUGCACAACGCGGGAGCUCGGAGCACCGGGCUGAGAGGACGCUGAUCACCGUACGCACGUCGUAACGACACGUACGGGAAGAGGCUGCGUCGACCGCCGAACCUGUUACCGGGUAAUGCCGGCGUAGGGAGAUCAGGUCUCAUGACC
rnacentral:ncRNA from 1 species